UACAUGUGGGGCAAGCGUUGUUCGGAAUUACUGGGCAUAAAGGGUGCGUAGGUGGCUUGGUAAGUCAGUGGUGAAAUCGUCCGGCCCAACCGGACACGUGCCAAUGAUACUGCCGAGCUUGAGUGCGUGAGGGAUGGGGGGAACGAGGCAGUGGUAGCGGUGAAAUGCGUAGAUAUUGCUCGGAAGGCCAAAGCCGAAGGGACCCCAUUGGUGCGCAACUGACACUGAGGCACGAAAGCGUGGGGAGCAAACAGGA
rnacentral:rRNA from 1 species